GGCUCGGUAGUUCAGUUGGUUAGAAUGCCAGCCUGUCACGCUGGAGGUCGAGGGUUCGAGUCCCUUUCGAGUCGCCA
rnacentral:tRNA from 1 species